AUUGAACGCUGGCGGAAUGCUUUACACAUGCAAGUCGAACGGCAGCACGGGGGCAACCCUGGUGGCGAGUGGCGAACGGGUGAGUAAUCCAUCGGAACGUGCCCAGUCGUGGGGGAUAACGUAGCGAAAGUUACGCCAAUAACGCAUACGAUCUACGGAUGAAAGCGGGGGACCGUAAGGCCCCGCGCGAUUGGAGGGGCCGAUGUCAGAUGAGGGAUUUGGUGAGGUAAAGGCUCACCAAGCCGACGAUCUGUAGCUGGUCUGAGAGGACGACCAGCCACACUGGGACUGAGACACGGCCCAGACUCCUACGGGAGGCAGCAGUGGGGAAUUUUGGACAAUGGGCGCAAGCCUGAUCCAGCCAUUCCGCGUGCAGGACGAAGGCCUUCGGGUUGUAAACUGCUUUUGUACGGAACGAAAAGGCUCUGGUUAAUACCUGGGGCUCAUGACGGUACCGUAAGAAUAAGCACCGGCUAACUACGUGCCAGCCGCCGCCGUAA
rnacentral:rRNA from 1 species